rnacentral:lncRNA from 1 species
GGAUUAGUAACGAACACAGGAAGAGAAAAUAUGUAGUGAAAACGAGACAAUAAUAAGCACUGACGUACUGUGAACUCGGAAGACCUAACAUUUCUUGGUUGAUUUCUUGGCCUGCGUUUGCCAUACUUCAAGCACAAAGGAUUGUACGUGCAUUUAUAUGUCUAUUUAGGAGAGGAGGGUUUCGAUAUAGGUUUUCAUUGUUUUAAUUUAUGAUUUCUAACUUUCACAUUCUGAACUUAGUGUCUUUUUUGUUGUUAGGGAUGAGGGAUUGAUAAUUAAAAUGUACCAAUGAUGACGUCUUAUGGGGGGAAGUAUUAACACUUGAAAUGAAGCAGUACAGUCUAUUUUUUUUUCAACAGAUAUCGGAGUUGUUCAUUUAUUUAUUCUUUGGUUGUUUGUUUGAUUAUUUGUGUUAGUAAAGUACGACUGCUUCAACCUGAUUGUUUUUUGUUGUUGUUAUAGCAUCGACUAGUGUAGAGUGUGAAACGUGUUACAUCUUCAUCAGAGAACACAAUAAAUAAAUUUCCAACUAUAUUUACAUCAUUUCAAAAAUAAUCAUUAAAAUGAAAAGCUUCACACAUAUGUACGGUUGUUUUUGUUGUCAAUGAAUAUCUUAUCUAUUCUUUGUAAAUUAACUGCAACGCUGAAUGCCCCAAGCCUCUUUUGAUUUAUUUUAAUAAUAAGUAUCCUAACAAUUUAAAAGUUUGUUUUAGAUUAUUUGGUUUUAUUGGACUUCUUGAUUAUAUUUUUGAAAAAAUUUAGACGGGUAAUUUGUUAUAUAAAAUAUAUUGUACGCCUUAUAUUCAAAACAUAUAGUAGUUGCGCCGCCAUUAUUUUUCAAAUCGUUAUAGACUGCGUUGGUUUUAAAGAAGGUGAUAAAUUCUGCAAAGCUAUUCUAAAUUCAUUAUGAGGCCAUCUCAUAAGAGAACCAACAAAUUAAGUUGCUUCAGACAGUGAUUUAAACUACGGUUAGAUUAUGUAUACUCAGUCCAAUAUUUGUACUAGUACUAGUGCAAUAUAAAUAUGGAGUUUACCAUGCAAAUAAGUUUACUUAAGGGUAUCUUAAUAACAGCUUCGAAGUUCAAGCUAAAUUACAUUGAUGUCGUUUUUGUGGAUUGAUUAAAAUAAACUCUUUGAAUUGAAUUAUAAUAAGGCUUGAGCAUGUUCAUAUAUUUCCGUUUUAAUGAUGAAAACUAAUAACAUAGAUGAGAAAGUUUAAGUUUUAUAAAUUUCAAUUUCUAUUUCCGUCCUCCUUCAUUCGCCAAUGAUACAAUGUUUCCGCUUCUCAUGGAAUUUACUCUUUUCUUAUAAAUCGAUGUUUUAACCAAAUAUUAAUAAAUAAAAGUUACUAUACCAUGUUUCCAUAUGGUUAAGAAUUUCUGUUCUUGAAAUUUACACUUUUUUGUUUGAUUUAAGCAUACCUUAAUAUGAAAG